rnacentral:lncRNA from 1 species
CUGGGAAGCUUGGCAUGGUCUAGCUAAUUAUAGUAUCCGUUGACUGCACCCUGUGUUGUAUCAUAUUCCUAUCUAUCACAGUUGAACAUUCACACUUGAUGUCCUUUAUAGUUUGCUUUAACAACACAAACUCUUAAGUGUUCUAUUCCUAAAACAUCACAUAUGAUGUUGACCGCUUUCUAGUCUUAUUAUGAUUAUAUAUCUAUAUUGGAGUAAACCGACCGACCUCCAUAAACCGAUCGAUCUCCGGCACACACCGACCGACAUCCGACUCUGACCCACCAAAUGAACAGAUAAUCUUGAAAGUGAUUACCGACUAUAUAUCGGCUGAGCAGGCCGACGCUACUCUCGACCGACCAAUCGAACAUCCCUCACCGAAUCAAGAUCGGUAGAUGACCGAUGUUCGGACCCUACAGACAAUAAACUACUUUGGCCGUCGGUAUUUCAGAGUUACUAAUCGAUAACCGACUCCCGACACACAGUCGGUCGACUCAUUCAAAUAUAUCAUCACCGUCACGGACGGUUACUCCACUGAUAUCGUAACGUAAUUUAUUGGGAUUAAUAACCCACUAUGAGAUUAUCGUCCUGUGAUUCUACGCCGUUAAAUGCGGGACCAUAUCCGACAGUUACGAUGAUCUACUCUAUAAAAAGGGAGUAAGGCAACAAAUUUUGGUAAGUUAAUUUUGAUACGUUGAGCUCUGUCUCUAUUCUCAUUCUACUGUUGCCUAUUUUUCUUCUCUGACUUAAGCAUCGGAAGGUCUCCACCAAAGAUAACUCCGAUCAGUGUGGACUUCAUUUUACAGGUGCUCAUUUUUUAUGAACAAACGAUGAGGGGAUUGGCAGCAACAGAUUGGCAUGCCAGGUAGAGGCUAAAACAGCGGCAAGAAGGAAACUAACAAUGACGAGAACCAGAGCACAAUGAUCAACGGCGACCGGCUCGGCGAGACACUCUUUCCGUCGAAAAGAGGCUCCUUCCCUGCCCCCAGUAGCAAAGCCCAGUUCUCCAUGCCCCAUGGUUACCACAGACGCUCAGAUUGCUGUGAUCGUGCAACAAAUGAACGUCCUCACAGAGGCAGUCAAAAGCCUCCAACAAUAGCAAACCCAACCACCACAACCGUCGAUGGAGCAACCGGUGGUGCAUUCAAUGCCUUCCAAGCAUAACCAUCAUCAUCCAUGACGAUCUCAGUCUCCUCCAUCAGAUCGACGAUCUCAGCUCUCUCAACGGGAUGAGCAGUGGCACUCGCGGCAAUCUCGAUGCACCACCCACCAUUCACGGCAUCCCUCUCCUUCUCACUUAGAUCGAGCAAAGAAGGGGAAGCGACCACGAACACCAUCUGUCUCAAAUUCAUCGGGAGGAUCAACCCCUAAAGUCUCUCACCAUUGAUGGCUUGAAGACUAUGAACGUAAGUUCGAGAAAAUCGACUGUCGACUCACCCAGCUCCAGACGGACGGUCAGAAAUC